rnacentral:rRNA from 1 species
GAUGAACGCUGGCGGCGUGCCUAAUACAUGCAAGUCGAGCGAACGGACGAGAAGCUUGCUUCUCUGAUGUUAGCGGCGGACGGGUGAGUAACACGUGGAUAACCUACCUAUAAGACUGGGAUAACUUCGGGAAACCGUAGCUAAUACCGGAUAAUAUUUUGAACCGCAUGGUUCAAAAGUGAAAGACGGUCUUGCUGUCACUUAUAGAUGGAUCCGCGCUUCAUUAGCUAGUUGGUAAGGUAACGGCUUACCAAGGCAACGAUGCAUAGCCGACCCGAGAGGGUGAUCGGCCACCAUGGAACUGAGACACGGUCCAGACUCCUACGGGAGGCAGCAGUAGGGAAUCUUCCGCAAUUGGCGAAAGCCUGACGGAGCAAAGCCGCGUGAGUGAUGAAGGUCUUCGGAGCGUAAAACUCCGUUAGUAGGGAAGAACAUAUGUGUAAGUAACUGUGCACAUCUUGACGGUACCGAAUCAGAAAGCCACGGCUAACUACGUG